UACGGAGGGGGCUAGCGUUGUUCGGAAUUACUGGGCGUAAAGGGCUCGUAGGCGGCCAACUAAGUCGGACGUGAAAUCCCCAGGCUCAACCUGGGAACUGCGUCCGAUACUGGAUGGCUUGAAUUCGGGAGAGGGAUGCAGAAUUCCAGGUGUAGCGGUGAAAUGCGUAGAUAUCUGGAGGAAUACCGGUGGCGAAGGCGGCAUCCUGGACCGACAUUGACGCUGAUGAGCGAAAGCCAGGGGAGCAAACGGG
rnacentral:rRNA from 1 species